CCUACGGGAGGCAGCAGUGAGGAAUAUUGGUCAAUGGACGAGAGUCUGAACCAGCCAAGUAGCGUGAAGGAUGACUGCCCUAUGGGUUGUAAACUUCUUUUAUAUGGGAGUAAAAUGUUCCACGUGUGGGAUUUUGUAUGUACCAUAUGAAUAAGGAUCGGCUAACUCCGUGCCAGCAGCCGCGGUAAGACGGAGGGUCCGAGCGUUAUCCGGAUUUAUUGGGUUUAAAGGGAGCGUAGGUGGGUUGUUAAGUCAGUUGUGAAAGUUUGCGGCUCAACCUUAAAAUUGCAGUUGAAACUGGCCGUCUUGAGUACAGUAGAGGUGGGCGGAAUUCGUGGUGUAGCGGUGAAAUGCUUAGAUAGCGCGAAGAACUCCGAUUGCGAAGGCAGUUCACUGGACUGCAACUGACACUGAGGCUCGAAAGUGUGGGUAUCAAACAGGAUUAGAUACCCUAGUAGUC
rnacentral:rRNA from 1 species